GAAGGAGCUCCUUUGGUAUUGUUAAAACCAGAUUCCUGGCUGUAUAGGUCACUGACUCAAGAGAAAGGAAGGAGCUCCUUUGGUAUUGUUAAAACCAUCUGAAUAUACAGCACCUGUCAUGUUGUGGAUGCUGCUAGAAACAAACAAUACAUCAGAAUAAAGAUAGUGCUUCACUGUGGCGAGUUCCUUUCCUGACCAAAGCUAACCAGGGAAGGAAGGAAAGAAACCAAACCAAAGGAUCUGAUGAACUGGUCUGAAUGGAAACGUUUACUGGGCCGAUGGAGGAUCCUGAAGAGUGUGAUUGCAUGCAUUCCUGCAUGCAUUUCGGAGAGGCACCAGU
rnacentral:lncRNA from 1 species